CUAUUUCCUUCUCUCUACUUCGUCUUCACUCCUUUCUUUGAAUUUUCUUUCUCACUUUCUCCCCAAACAUGAAUUUUCUAAACCUUUCCUUUACAUUCUCCAUCUCAAUAAUAAUAUUAACACUCUUUCAAAACAAUAUUUUCUUGCAUGUCGAAUCCUUAAGCAUAACCCCCUCACAAAACCAAUAUACUUUCUUUGACAUAAACACUCUCGCUUCAACGCCUUUGAAAUCUGGCAACAACAAGAGCAAAUCGUGCACUUCACGGCCGACGUUUUCGGUCUGCAAGGUAUGGGGACGGGCCUGCUCAGAGGAGGUGCUGGGUCUGGCUCGCCGCCCCGAGAACGUUGACUGGUUGAAAAGUGUGAGGAGAAGAAUUCAUCAGCACCCGGAGCUUGCUUUUGAAGAAUAUGAAACAAGUAAGUUGGUUCGGGCCGAGUUGGAUCGGAUGGAGAUUGGAUAUAAAUAUCCGUUGGCCAAAACGGGUAUUCGGGCCUCGAUUGGGACCGGAGGCCCGCCGUUUGUGGCCAUCAGAGCUGAUAUGGAUGCACUUCCUAUUCAGGAAGCUGUUGAGUGGGAAUAUAAGAGCAAAGUUGCGGGAAAAAUGCAUGCUUGUGGGCACGAUGCACAUGUAACAAUGCUUCUUGGUGCUGCCAAGAUCUUGAAGAGUCGCGAACAUCUUUUGCAGGGAACUGUAAUUCUGAUAUUCCAACCAGCAGAGGAAGCUGGAAAUGGUGCAAAACAGAUGAUCGGAGAUGGGGCUCUGGAAGAUGUAGAGGCCAUAUUUGCAGUUCAUGUAUCUCAUGAGCAUCCUACUGGUAUCAUUGGCUCAAGGCCAGGUCCUUUGUUGGCCGGUUGUGGUUUCUUCAGAGCCGUAAUUAGUGUAAAAAAAGGCAACCCAUACCGUUCGGUUGACCCCAUCUUAGCAGCCUCUGCCGCUGUAAUCAGCUUACAAGGCAUUGUGUCUCGUGAAUCAAAUCCGCUGGACUCGCAGGUUGUGUCAGUAACUUCAUUCAAUGGAGGUAAUAAUCUGGACAUGAUUCCUGAUACAGUUAUAAUUGGUGGAACCCUCAGGGCCUUUUCCAACACCAGCUUUUAUCAACUUCUCCGCAGAAUAGAAGAGGUCAUUGUGGAGCAAGCUAGUGUUUUCAGAUGCUCGGCAACAGUUGAUUUCUUCAAAAACGAAUCCAAGAUCUAUCCCCCUACGGUGAACGACCAGGAUAUGUACAAGCAUGUGAAGAAGGUUGCCACCGAUUUGUUGGGUCCAUCGAACUACAGGGUGGUUCCGCCCAUGAUGGGGGCUGAGGACUUCUCCUUUUACUCGGAGGUGAUUCCAGCAGCUUUCUUCUACAUCGGAAUAAGGAACGAGUCAUUGGGGUCGAUACACACAGGCCAUUCACCAUAUUUUAUGAUCGAUGAAGAUGUUCUACCAAUAGGUGCAGCAGUUCAUGCUACUAUAGCAGAAAGAUAUCUGAAUGAGCGUGGAAGUUAUGCUGUAGCUUUUACCACUAAUGCGGUAAGUUUUUAAUCGACAAGCAAGAGAAUACUUCAAAAGAUGUGCUCUGUUUUUUACCGGUGCACUUGGCAAUGUUAAGCUCCAAAAUAUUCCGCAGUCAGGCCUACGGCCUUGUUUUUCGGUGUACUUGGGUUAGGGGGAUAUGCUAGGGCAAGAUUUUCCAGUGGAAUUGUAAAUGAAGUAGAGGAUCUUCUGCUUGUGUCUAUAAUUUUAAAUUGUAAUACUAAUACUUACCGCAUGUUUUAUAUAUUCUGCAGUUUGAUUUUA